rnacentral:rRNA from 1 species
GCCGCGUGGAGGAUGACACAUUUCGGUGCGUAAACUCCUUUUAUAUAGGAAGAUAAUGACGGUACUAUAUGAAUAAGCACCGGCUAACUCCGUGCCAGCAGCCGCGGUAAU